UCUUCAUCCUCUCCCUGGCAACCUGCAAUCCUGACUGACAGUACAUACUAUUUGGCUGAGAACAGCAGUGUGGGGACCACUUUGUUCACAGUGAACGCCAAUGACAACGAUAAGAGGAAUGGCACUACUAGUGAAAAUAAUAGUGGUGCAUUUGACAUUGAUUCUAUUGGAUAAGGCGCAUCUAGAGCUUUACAACCUAACAAUUGAAGUGAGAGACUCAGGGGUGGAUCAAAAGAGAGAUGUACCGAAUUAUAGUCACAGUAGAACAGGUGUUGUCAGAGUAAGUGGAGGGAUUGGACUACGCAAAGUGUCACAGCAACCAUUCUACAAAAGUCAAGGAACAUAUGAAAGUUGAGAGAGUAGCUCAUGUUAAUGUAACUCCUAUUAAGUUCAUGUGUGAGCUCUUGGAGGAAGAAGAAUUACUAACUUGCGCUUCGCAGAUGACAUUGACGGCCUAGCAGGGACAGAAGAA
rnacentral:sRNA from 1 species